rnacentral:rRNA from 1 species
UGAGGGAAUAUUUGGGGUCAAUGGGCGGAAGCCUGAACCAGCCAAGUCGCGUGAGGGAUGACGGUCCUACGGAUUGUAAACCUCUUUAGCCGGGGAGUAAAGUGAGCGACGUGUCGCUCAUUGAGAGUACCCGGAGAAUAAGCAUCGGCUAACUCCGUGCCAGCAGCCGCGGUAAUACGGAGGAUGCGGGCGUUAUCCGGAUUUAUUGGGUUUAAAGGGUGCGCAGGCGGCUCGUCAAGUCAGCGGUGAAAGCCCGGGGCUCAACCCCGGUAAGCCGUUGAAACUGGCAAGCUGGAGUUCGGGCGAGGCAGGCGGAAUGCGCGGUGUAGCGGUGAAAUGCUUAGAUAUCACGAAGAACUCCGAUUGCGAAGGCAGCUCACUGGAGCGCAACUGACGCUGAAGCUCGAAAGUGCGGGUAUCGAACAGGAUUAGAUACCCUGGUAGU